ensembl:lncRNA
GGGGGGACAGUGGGGAACAGGUGGGGACAGUGGGGAACUGGUGGGGACAGUGGGGAACAGGUGGGGACAGUGGGGAACAGGUGGGGGCAGUGGGGAACAGGUGGGGACAGUGGGGAACAGGUGGGGACAGUGGGGAACAGGUGGGGGCAGUGGGGAACAGGUGGGGACAGUGGGGAACAGGUGGGGACAGUGGGGAACAGGUGGGGGCAGUGGGGAACAGGUGGGGACAGUGGGGAACAGGUGGGGAAGAGGUGGAGCCAGCAGGGAAGAGGUGGGGACAGUGGGGAACAGGUGGGGACAGUGGGGAACAGGUGGGGGCAGAAAAUAACAGGUGGGGACAGUGGAGAACAGGUGGGGACAGUGGAGAACAGGUGGGGACAUUGGGGAACAGGUGGGCACAGUGGAGAACAGGUGGGGGCAGAAAAUAACAGGUGGGGACAGUGGAGAACAGGUGGGGACAGUGGAGAACAGGUGGGGACAUUGGGGAACAGGUGGGCACAGUGGAGAACAGGUGGGGGCAGAAAAUAACAGGUGGGGACAGUGGAGAACAGGUGGGGACAGUGGAGAACAGGUGGGGACAGUGGAGAACAGAUGGGGCAGAAAAGAACAGGUGGGGAACAGGUGGGGAAAGUGGAGAACAGAUAGGGACAGUGGAGAACAGGUGGGGGCAGAAAAGAG